AUGAUUGUCAUCUCCCCCUUUUCUUGCGAUGAAUUUUUCAAGCAAAGUUUAGUUCACCGUUUCCUUCCCGGUACCACAGGAACAACAACAUGGUAUGCCCGUCCAAUCCCACAUAACCCACGUAUCUCGCAUGAGCACAACCAGCAUGAUGGAGCAUCAACACACAGCGCGACCAAAAGCCACCUCUCAACCAAGCAAGAACCACCGAGCAGCAUAUCAAGCAAACAUGUAGGGCCCAGCGCCAAGCAUUUUAUGGCCAAAGUCCAUGUGACUCACAUUAACCAGGAAGCAAAUAAUAAGCAGGUCAGUAAUAUGGUCUGUAAUAAAGGAUCUGCUUACUCACGGUACAUCAUUAUGAUUCAAAUACAUGAUCACAAAGUUUCAGACACAAGGAAACACACCUCAUGA
rnacentral:rRNA from 1 species